GGCUACCAUGCAGUCGAACGGUGAAGCGGAGCUUGCUCUGCUGGAUCAGUGGCGAACGGGUGAGUAACACGUGAGCAAUCUGCCCCUGACUCUGGGAUAAGCGCUGGAAACGGCGUCUAAUACCGGAUACGAGCUGCGAAGGCAUCUUCAGCAGCUGGAAAGAAUUUCGGUCAGGGAUGAGCUCGCGGCCUAUCAGCUUGUUGGUGAGGUAACGGCUCACCAAGGCGUCGACGGGUAGCCGGCCUGAGAGGGUGACCGGCCACACUGGGACUGAGACACGGCCCAGACUCCUACGGGAGGCAGCAGUGGGGAAUAUUGCACAAUGGGCGAAAGCCUGAUGCAGCAACGCCGCGUGAGGGACGACGGCCUUCGGGUUGUAAACCUCUUUUAGCAGGGAAGAAGCGAAAGUGACGGUACCUGCAGAAAAAGCGCCGGCUAACUACGUGCCAGCAGCCGCGGUAAUACGUAGGGCGCAAGCGUUAUCCGGAAUUAUUGGGCGUAAAGAGCUCGUAGGCGGUUUGUCGCGUCUGCUGUGAAAACCCGAGGCUCAACCUCGGGCCUGCAGUGGGUACGGGCAGACUAGAGUGCGGUAGGGGAGAUUGGAAUUCCUGGUGUAGCGGUGGAAUGCGCAGAUAUCAGGAGGAACACCGAUGGCGAAGGCAGAUCUCUGGGCCGUAACUGACGCUGAGGAGCGAAAGGGUGGGGAGCAAACAGGCUUAGAUACCCUGGUAGUCCACCCCGUAAACGUUGGGAACUAGUUGUGGGGACCAUUCCACGGUUUCCGUGACGCAGCUAACGCAUUAAGUUCCCCGCCUGGGGAGUACGGCCGCAAGGCUAAAACUCAAAGGAAUUGACGGGGACCCGCACAAGCGGCGGAGCAUGCGGAUUAAUUCGAUGCAACGCGAAGAACUUACCAAGGCUUGACAUAUACGAAGAACGGG
rnacentral:rRNA from 1 species